rnacentral:lncRNA from 1 species
CUUUCUCUUACUUUUAUGUGAACCUAAAAUUGCUCUUUAAAAUUUAAGUUAAAAAAAAAAGAAAUGAAACAUGGUCCCUGCCAUCUGAGCAACAAUUUAAGGUUCACAAAAACAUUUUUCAGACUUAAGCUACUUUGAAUAUCAUAUCAUCUUCACUUAGGAGAUGAGGAAAUUCGGGUUCAGAAAGUUUAUGUGACUUACCUCGAGUCAUACAGCCAGUGUUGGGAGCAGAGAGCACGUGGAAAAUUCUUGCCUGCUUUUCAACAUCCACCCAAGAAGUAAUCAUUGGGCAAAACUGACCACCAGGCCUCAUCUCACUGCAAGGGGGCUGAAGAAUGACAGAAGACAAAGCUCCAGCUGGCAGAGAAAGAUGAAUGUGAGAGAAGGAAAAGUUUUAUCUAAGCCUGGAACCCAAGAAGAGAACCUCUGCCUGCCCAAAUCAGAUCAACACAAAUCUAUAUUUUCAAAAAACCUAAAGCAAGGAAAAUGUUAGCUUUAUAAACUCCACUUUGGAAAAGUUUUAGAACAGACCUUAUUAUAGAGUUCCACUAAGGCACCUGGGAUGCCCAAAGGACCUGCCCUCUGCUGAUAUCUACAAAAGAUGAUAUUUUCAAAAUGUCCAAGAGUCUCUGAUCUGUGUGUUCAGCAGGAUAACCAAGCUACUGCCUAUCAGAGCAGGGGGCCUAACACCCCUUCCAUUACUGGUUGGCUCUGAUUAUCUUGAGGCUGCCAUGCUUUGAAGAAGUCAAACCACAUAGAGAAAUCAUCAGUGUUGGCCCCAGUGCCAAAGGUGUGAGUGAGGAGCCUUCAGACAACUCCAGCCCCCAUCCCCUGCCUGGGAGCCCACUCAGCUGGAGCACCAGACAGCAUGUGCAGGCCCUCCCUGCCAUGCCUUUUCUACUCCCACCCUACAGAAUCUGGGAGCACUGGACGUGG